rnacentral:rRNA from 1 species
UGGACCUACGGGACGCAGCAGUGAGGAAUAUUGGUCAAUGGGCGGGAGCCUGAACCAGCCAAGCCGCGUGAAGGAAGAAGGCGCCAAGCGUCGUAAACUUCUUUUGUCGGGGAACAAAGGGUGCCACGUGUGGCGUUGUGAGUGUACCCGAAGAAAAAGCAUCGGCUAACUCCGUGCCAGCAGCCGCGGUAAUACGUAGGAGGCAAGCGUUAUCCGGAUUUAUUGGGCGUAAAGGGAACGCAGGCGGUCUUUUAAGUCUGAUGUGAAAGCCUUCGGCUUAACCGGAGUAGUGCAUUGGAAACUGG